rnacentral:rRNA from 1 species
CACGUAGGGUGCGAGCGUUGUCCGGAAUUAUUGGGCGUAAAGGGCUCGUAGGCGGUUUGUCGCGUCGGGAGUGAAAACACUGGGCUUAACCCAGUGCUUGCUUUCGAUACGGGCAGACUAGAGGUAUGCAGGGGAGAACGGAAUUCCUGGUGUAGCGGUGAAAUGCGCAGAUAUCAGGAGGAACACCGGUGGCGAAGGCGGUUCUCUGGGCAUGAUCUGACGCUGAGGAGCGAAAGUGUGGGGAGCGAACAGG